rnacentral:rRNA from 1 species
AUGAAUAUCGCCCUUCUCUCCCGCUGGCUUUGGCGCAUCUCGCAAGGUCACGGUGGCCUCUGGCUUGACAUCAUCCGGAAUAAAUACUUGCGCGGACAGCCCCUCACCUUCUGCUAGAAGUCUGGCGGAUCUCAGUUCUGGCAGUCGAUUGUCCAGCUUCUCCCGGUCCUCCGUAUCGGGACCUCCAUUUCGGUGGGAUCCGGAGUAUCGACGCUGUUCUGGUUUGAUCGCUGGGCCGGGGACACUCCCUUUGCGGCUCACUUUCCCGGCCUCUUCUCUAUCUCCGUCGAUCCCGUGAUUUCUGUUGAUAGGGCCCUUCUUGACUUAGGGCGCCUUGCUUUCCGACGGCCUUUUGGUCCCUUGGAAUCCGCCGCCUGGCGUGAGUUGCUUGACUGUGUUGCUCUCCACGAGCCGAUGGUGGAUGGUGGCCCUGACCUGGUGCGCUGGCGCCUUGAGCCUUCGGGUCAAUUCUCCACCAAGUCGCUAUACCUGGCCAUCGCUCCAUCUUUCGCCCCCUCCCCCUAUCGAUGGUGUGGUCCAUCCGCCUGCCCCUGA